rnacentral:lncRNA from 1 species
AUUUCCUUACUUGUCCACUUAGUGCCAUCAAAAUAAACUCUGCUCGCUUUGAAGUCUUUGUUACAUCUAGUAUCUGCACUCAAAAGCAUUCAUUCCAAUGGGGAACUAAAUUUUAGCACUGUUUUUUAUGCCAACUUUAAGGAUGAAUUUUCACUUUAUUUUCAAUGAGUAAAUUUUUUUUUAAGGUUACAGAAUGAUUGGCAAUUAUUUUUUGCUACUUUUGUAUGUUCUGCUGAUGUUGCUUUCU